UCACUGACGUGUUCUCCCAUAAAAAUAUUCCUUGGAAAAUUUGAACAAAAUGAGUAAAAACUCACGAUCAUCAUUCAGAAAGAAAAAAGGUAA